rnacentral:ncRNA from 2 species
UACAAUUACAGGUAUAUGUACACUGUUCAAACAUCUGAACUGUGAUUAAAGCAAUUAAGCGUAUGUUAAGUACGUCGCACUCAGAUGGGAAAGCACCGUGAGGUGCUUUUUUUGUUAAUGA